UUUGAUUUCAGGUUAGUUCCGUAGUUUCUAGUCAAGUGUCAAGAUUCUUUAAUUAUUGAAUCAUCAGUUGAUCAGAUUAAGUUCCUACACUUAUUUUAUCAGCCGUAUCUGUUUGUGAGUUACACAGCUCCAGGUUACACUUCUUUGUCUAUAUAAUUAAAUUCAGUUUUCAGUUUUUAAAUAAUACAGUUUUCGGUUUGAAAAUAAAAUUGUUCGAGAUCCGUUAAAUGUCAUUGUGAUUUUUUUCAAGUGUAAAUCAGUGAACCAAAUAAAGACAAUUGCACCAAAACUCUCACAAUCACAUCCUCAGUGUCUCGACCCUGUGCGAGUGAACAGGUAAGUUGUGAUUGCCCAAGUUUCUGGUUUACGAGUACAUUCUGCACUCGGGCUAUUCGAACCUCUUGACUGCAGCUCGACAUACGAAUGCCUCCAGACCAUAUUACUCUCAACACGCCAGGAUGUUACGAAUAAUUUGUUCAGUCUCAGUGUCCCAGUAGGUGUUACAUCCACGAUUAAAUGUAUAAAUAAACGGUGCGUCUGCAAAGUUCAGAUGUCUUCGGGGUUUUACACGUUGUUCCCUCCCCUGAGGUGCUAUGGGACCAACUUAUUCCCCAAGUGUACUGCGUUUCUACAGGGAUCGAGGGAAACCAGGGGAACCCCCUACCGUACAGCCCGCCGAUAGUGCAGAGUCCGGCUGUACCGUUCCCUCAUAUUGACUGGAAGGACACACAGCGUGAGCGUCAGGUACUUCACAGCGGUCACCCAUCCAAGUACUAACCUAGCGAAUCGCUGCUUAGCCUCGAUAUCCACCGGAGUAACCCUUCACUUUUUGUUAUGUAAAGUUUGUUUAUUCGUGAAUUAAGUGAUGGGUAUUUUUUAGGUAUAAACGACUUCGGAACAAAGAACUUUAUUUUAACUUGAACUUGUGAUAGAGAAAUGUGUUCAGCGUUGGUUGGUCUUCCUUAAUUUUUAUAAUUUUUUAAACAAAAAGAAAAUAUACUUUUUUUUUGUAUUAGGUGAGCUGCUCUGGAGUUUGUUGUUUUACGUUGGAUCUGGGUUUAUCAAUCUGAUGUGUUUGGCUGCUAUUGCUAGGGAAAAACGGAGCCUCUAAUGGUUACUAUAAUGAAAAGAAAAACACUAAACUAUAUGUAGAGAUGGAAUAGUUAUAAUGAUUUAAACAUGUGAAUGUUAUUUUAUUUAUUUCUUGUUUAUUUUAUAAACUAAAAAGACUAAAGGGCCUCGUGCACCUCUAUUUAGACUCAAGGAAACAGAGCACACACAUUAUAGCCCCAACUUCUCGAAAUUUUCACCCAUAAAAAUGUUUUCCAAUCUCAAGUGUAAACACGAGAAUAAACGAAGUACAAAUGUUACAUAGACCUAUUCAA